GCUCUCCUGUGUUCGUUUCCUCCUGUUUCUUUGGAUUUGCCUCUUUUGCCAUUUUGAGCAAGGAUUUUGGGGCACUUGCCUUCUACCCUUGUGAAAUAAUUUCCUUCAACAAGCCUGCAGAAAAUAAACACCCUGCACACUCAAGAUGUAAGACGGGCAGGGAACCUUAGUAACCAGCCCAGGGGAACCACGGGGCCAGCAGAUAAGGCCAUCCCAGUCUGGAGGGCACACCUCAUCUGCAGUGAGAAGGAGACGAAGUCAACACACACUUACCCACACUGCCAUCUGGUACAUGCUCAUGCCAUAAAUGACUGUGAAAGGCUGCAUGGACCAACCACAAAUGUGUAAAGCUUCUUCAGGUCUACCAGGGACAGAUUUCUCAUCACACAUCUGCCUCCGUCUCUGCAAGAGGUAGCUUUUUUUUCCUCAGUACAGGGCCAAUAUCUUGCAGACCUUACACCUCCUAUCAUCUAAGGUCGGGCAAAAUUCAUUGCCUUGUGUCAAAGAAAUUUCAUUGCACGGAAAAUUAGUUUGAGGGGCAGCAUGCCACUAACUGUGAUGCAAAGUAAAAGUUUUGCUGAGUCUGGGAAAUAUGUCAAUUAUU